GGAGAAGUACCCAAGUGGCUAUAAGGGGCUCCCCUGCUAAGGGAGUAGGCCGGGGUGACUGGUGCGUGGGUUCGAAUCCCACCUUCUCCGCCA
rnacentral:tRNA from 1 species